rnacentral:rRNA from 1 species
GACGAACGCUGGCGGCGUGCCUAAUACAUGCAAGUCGAACGCAUUUUCUUUCACCGUAGCUUGCUACACCGAAAGAAAAUGAGUGGCGAACGGGUGAGUAACACGUGGGUAACCUGCCCAUCAGCGGGGGACAACACUUGGAAACAGGUGCUAAUACCGCAUAAUUCCAUUUACCGCAUGGUAAAUGGAUGAAAGGCGCUUUUGCGUCACUGAUGGAUGGACCCGCGGUGCAUUAGCUAGUUGGUGGGGUAACGGCCUACCAAGGCUGCGAUGCAUAGCCGACCUGAGAGGGUGAUCGGCCACACUGGGACUGAGACACGGCCCAGACUCCUACGGGAGGCAGCAGUAGGGAAUCUUCGGCAAUGGACGCAAGUCUGACCGAGCAACGCCGCGUGAGUGAAGAAGGUUUUCGGAUCGUAAAACUCUGUUGUUAGAGAAGAACAAGGAUGAGAGUGGAAAGUUCAUCCCUUGACGGUAUCUAACCAGAAAGCCACGGCUAACUACGUG